rnacentral:rRNA from 1 species
GAUGAACGCUGGCGGCGUGCCUAAUACAUGCAAGUCGAGCGAACAGACGAGGAGCUUGCUCCUCUGACGUUAGCGGCGGACGGGUGAGUAACACGUGGAUAACCUACCUAUAAGACUGGGAUAACUUCGGGAAACCGGAGCUAAUACCGGAUAAUAUAUUGAACCGCAUGGUUCAAUAGUGAAAGACGGUUUUGCUGUCACUUAUAGAUGGAUCCGCGCCGCAUUAGCUAGUUGGUAAGGUACGGCUUACCAAGGCAACGAUGCGUAGCCGACCUGAGAGGCUGAUCGGCCACACUGGAACUGAGACACGGUCCAGACUCCUACGGGAGGCAGCAGUAGGGAAUCUUCCGCAAUGGGCGAAAGCCUGACGGAGCAACGCCGCGUGAGUGAUGAAGGUCUUCGGAUCGUAAAACUCUGUUAUUAGGGAAGAACAAAUGUGUAAGUAACUAUGCACGUCUUGACGGUACCUAAUCAGAAAGCCACGGCUAACUACGUG